rnacentral:rRNA from 1 species
UACGGGGGGGGCAAGCGUUGUUCGGAAUUACUGGGCGUAAAGGGCUCGUAGGUGGCCAACUAAGUCAGACGUGAAAUCCCUCAGCUUAACUGGGGAACUGCGUCUGAUACUGGAUGGCUUGAGUUUGGGAGAGGGAUGCGGAAUUCCAGGUGUAGCGGUGAAAUCCGUAGAUAUCUAAAGGAACACCAAUGGCGAAGGCAGCUUACUGGGUCUUUUCUGACACUGAGAUGCGAAAGCGUGGGGAGCGAACGGG